rnacentral:rRNA from 1 species
AUUGAACGCUGGCGGCAGGCCUAACACAUGCAAGUCGAGCGGCAGCGGGAAAGUAGCUUGCUACUUUUGCCGGCGAGCGGCGGACGGGUGAGUAAUGCCUGGGAAAUUGCCCAGUCGAGGGGGAUAACAGUUGGAAACGACUGCUAAUACCGCAUACGCCCUACGGGGGAAAGCAGGGGACCCUCGGGCCUUGCGCGAUUGGAUAUGCCCAGGUGGGAUUAGCUAGUUGGUGAGGUAAUGGCUCACCAAGGCGACGAUCCCUAGAUGGUCUGAGAGGAUGAUCAGCCACACUGGAACUGAGACACGGUCCAGACUCCUACGGGAGGCAGCAGUGGGGAAUAUUGCACAAUGGGGGAAACCCUGAUGCAGCCAUGCCGCGUGUGUGAAGAAGGCCUUCGGGUUGUAAAGCACUUUCAGCGAGGAGGAAAGGUUGAUGCCUAAUACGUAUCAACUGUGACGUUACUCGCAGAAGAAGCACCGGCUAACUCCGUGCCAGCCGCCGCAGUAA